UACAGAGGUCUCAAGCGUUGUUCGGAUUCAUUGGGCGUAAAGGGUGCGUAGGCGGCGCGGUAGGUCUGCUGUGAAAACUUGGGGGCUCAACCCCCGAGACGUCGGUGGAAACCACCUGGCUAGAGUCCGGAAGAGGCGAGUGGAAUUCCUGGUGUAGCGGUGGAAUGCGCAGAUAUCAGGAGGAACACCGAUAGCGAAGGCAGCUCGCUGGGACGGUACUGAUGCUGAGGCGCGAAAGCGUGGGGAGCGAACAGG
rnacentral:rRNA from 1 species